UGCUGCUGUGGGAGAAAUAGGUAAGGUGGUCCCUGGGAUUGGCCUGGUGGGGUGGGCCCGCGCGGUAGGGCGAUGAAGGGGUUUGUCGGGUUCCCGACGACUCUGCCGCCGUGGGUAUACGUGAAUGUUGUGGUGGGCACCGAAGCCCAUCUGGGUUCGAAAAUGGGUUGGUCGCGCUCAUCUCUGGCGAUUACAUAGCCUGCUGCAGGCGGUGGUUGCAUGAUGUCCGGGGGGAUGCCACCGUUUGGAGGGCCCCAGGUAGUCUCUUGGCCGGAUGGGAAGGUGCCCCAGGUCAUGGUUGUGGAAAGUAUGUGUAAGGUGAUUGGGUUUUUCAAAAAGGGGGUUUGAUGGGACAGGAUGGGGAGAUGAGCUUGUGGGUUGAUGAUGGAGGUCUGGUUCUAGUAUGUCCAGGGUAUGUAAGGGAAGACAAGGAAUCAAGUACCCACAGAAAAUUCCCUGGGUAUUUAUAUGCAUAAAACAUCCCAUAUCUGGCUGUAGCCAUCUCCACAGGAGUUAAAUAUUCACCCGCUUCUCUCUGAUGUCCUGCUUGUUAGCUGACAAGAGCGGACGCCGUAUCCAAGCAGCUGUAAAGAAGACCACGGUGA
rnacentral:sRNA from 2 species